GACGAACCGUGCGAACGUUAUUCGGAAUCAUUGGGCUUAAAGGGCGCGUAGGCGGCGGUGUAAGUUGGAAGUGAAAUCCCAUCGGCUCAACCGUGGAAUAGCUCCCAGUACUGUAUCGCUCGAGGGGGAUAGGGGUCUGCGGAACUACCGGUGGAGCGGUGAAAUGUGUUGAUAUCGGUGGGAACGCCAGUCGCGAAAGCGGCAGACUUGACCCUUCCUGACGCUGAGUGCGCGAAAGCUAGGGGAGCAAACGGG
rnacentral:rRNA from 1 species